ensembl:lncRNA LINC01206 long intergenic non-protein coding RNA 1206
UUGUAACCGAUAGACUGGGCUGGGGCAACGCUGAUGAAAGGCAAAUUCCUGAGAGAAAAAUCACCCAGAUUUUUCAGUGCCUUCUCUAGCUUUCUAGAAGUUGUUAUGAGUGGACCUGACUACCUAGAGAGAGUAAUACAGAAGCUCCGUGCCGAUCACAGCUACCUCAUUACCAUGUUCCUCCAAGAUGGCCGCCCCUGAGGAGAAUCAUCAACUGGGCUUUACGGAAGAGAGAAAUCCAAACGACCAUCAGCAACAAAUGAAAGACUGAAGUUGAAAGGCAAGUCUUCAGAUUUGAAUUUCAAGAUUGUCAAGAAUGACGAGUUGGACUUGGUCUAGUUACUUCCACAGCAGCAGGAGGAACAUGUGUGUGACUCAGGAUAACUGGGGAAGCCUUGGCUAGGCUUUCCUCAUGUCAACCUACCACUCAAAGGGAGAAAACCUCCUGAUCAGAGGUGCCCAGAACCCAGGAAAUCCAUAAUUUUUGAAUGCUGGCCGAGGUCUGUGACCUCUGACUGAAUGGUUUCCAAGCUCCGAAUUCCUAGGUGAUGUUUUCAUUUGUUCACACUUGCUGAAGAAGGGAAAGGCUCUCUGAUUUACGUGUAAGCAAAACAAUCUAAACAGUAGGAUAAAAUCAUGUUGGAAUGGAGUUCUGUGUGGAUGCUCCUUUGAACCAAAUCAGUUCCACAACUGACCCUGUCAGGGACAUAUAAAUUUAGCAUUUUGGUGUGGAUACAGAAGACGAGAUUAACACAGAUCAAGUAACAUGGAAAUAAAAAAGGAGACAAUGCUGGAUGAUACAGGGGCAGCCAACAAGAGGAGAAAACCCAAGCAUUGGCAAAUGCCUCAUUAUCCAAAGAACACUGAGGUGUGGAGCAAAACUGUGUUGAAUGAACUGUAGAUGGAAAUUCUCUCCUUCCCACCGAGGAGCCGCUGCAGGUUGCAGACUCCCAGAAUGCCACACUGAGAAGAGGAGGGCUAAAAUUCUAGAGCAGAAUCCCUGGGGCAGCCCCUGCUGAAGAAGGGUGCAUCUGUUGAGAAUCUCAUCACCGCCCCCACCCCGCCCAGCCUUCAAUUUAGAGGAAUUUCUAGUUCACGCAGAAUGAAGACAAGAUCACAUAAGUGAGGACGACGCCCCAUUUACAAGUGUGAUUUGGAAGACUGAAGUGGAAACCUUGGGAAGGUGGGCCUCAGAGUAUGUCAGCUGGGGUCAGACGGGAACAGGAGUCUGGCUCAACACACAUUUAUUGCACUCCUGUUUCAUGCCAAGAAAUGUACCAAAAUCUGGGACUGUGUAACACAGCAAAGGAAAAGACUCAUCUCCAGGAAGCCCCCUUGUCUAGGAAGAGAAAUUGAAUAUCAGCAUAAGGUGGUGAAAAGCUGUGAAGGAGAUGAGUGCCAGGAGUCCAUGGAGGAAGGAUUCUAGCCUGGACAGGUGAGGAAUGGCUUUCUGGAAGAAGCAGAUGCCCCAGCUGAACUUUAAAAUGCCCAUGUGAAAUGAACUGUCUGUAUCUUCAAUCAGCAAAUGGAGUAGGUGGCCACUGUUUAAUUCUGGAAUGGGGAAGUGUAAAGGUGUGGUGUGUGUGUUUACCCCUACUUAGGGAUUCAAAACAGACAGUAAAGAACAAAAGUCUAGCCCUUUGAGCAUUCUCCAUGGGACAUUUGAGGUCUAGCUGGCCCCAGAGAAAGAGAGACAGAAGCAAGGUCAUAUCCAUUUGAGAAAAUCAAAGUGUCUGCUCCAA